AUCCACUAAUUUGAAGGUGCGUCCACAUCCUUUUGGCCAUGUAGUAUAAGACAUAGGCCUAAUCCUCUGGUUCAGCUCCGGUCACCAUCACCCAGCUGUGGCAACUGUUUCUAGAGCAGUGGUAGUGAGAUGUUGGAGUGAAUGGGAGUCAUAUGAGCAGGCAACGUUUAAAAGCUGACAAUGUACCUCAAAUCUCUUCAGUUUUGGGUGAUUCAUGUCCGACACGAUGCUGCUGAAAACAUUUUGCGGACUUUGGUCCAUUUCAACUGUCAUUUCUGCCGCUGUCUUCUUGGAGAGGGAUGAUGCGCACGUGGUGCUUGACAGAUCCAGGCGCGCCAACAGCGGCUACUUCGAGGAGAUGAAACAGGGCAACCUCGAGCGUGAGUGUGUCGAGGAAAUUUGUGACUAUGAAGAGGCUCGGGAAGUUUUCGAGGACGACGGCCGAACG